GAGGAAGUAAAAGUCGUAACAAGGUUUCCGUAGGUGA
rnacentral:rRNA from 1 species